GACUGCUCUAGUGGCCUAGUGGUAAGAGCUUCUGCCUUGGAUGUGGGAGGUUGUGGGUUCAUUUCCCAGUCUGAGUCA